UCUUUUGCAUCUCUCUGCAUUAGACAGUAUGUAAGAAAUGACAGCAGCCUUUUUUGCUCCAUGCAAAAAGGAAACUGUGCAAUAAGAAGAACGAUGAGAGACCUCAAAAAGGAUGCUGUGAAGGGUAUAGUCCUCCCGUAACUGAAGGAUUUCACCAAUGGAGUUGAAAGGAUGGAACAGACUAGCAAAGAGUCAGAGUGAACCCUAAUACAAAUGUCACCUAGCAGAAAAUGAAGAAGUGGGUGCUCCCACUUUCUUUGAUGCUCUUCCCUUCCCAAACUCCCAGGACCAUGGCUCUGCUGUCAGAGGGAAGGCUGUCUGACAAAGGAACAUCUUGGCCAUCAGUUGAUAAAGAGUACUUACUAAGCAUCUGCUAUAUGUCCUGAACAUUGUUCGCUCCUACAGGUAGUAAUAACAUUAACAAGAUACAGACAUAAAACAUAGAAACAUCUUUUCCAAACAUAGAAAAGCGAGCAGUUACCAACAAACCAGCUUCCAUAUGAGGGAAACACUCAGCCAUUUUAUGUAGAUGCUCACAUGACAAGAAACCAAGGCCUCCUGCCAACAGCCACAUGAGUGACACAUCAAGGAAGUGGAUCUUCCAGCCUCACUCAAGCCUCCAGUUUACUAAUAGUUCUGCCAACUUCUUGACAAGAACCUCAGGAAAGAUCCUGAGCCAGAGUCACCCUAUUAAGUUGUUCCCCAAAACCUGUUGCACAGAAACUGUGAGAACCAUAUGCUUGUGGCUUUAAGCCACAAAGUUUGGAUGUGAUUCAUCAUGUGACAUUAAAUGAUAUAACUUGACGAAAAUGAACUUACAAACCAUGCUAAAUCUUGCUGAUGGGAGCAAACAUUUUCACCCAAGAUGGACUGCUGAAGGAGAUCUGAGCACUUGAGAACACGUCAUUAUCCAAAGUGCAAAUUAUCAUCCACUGAGAACUUAGAGUUCCACAGUUGCUCCUGGAUAACUUUCACAACUGACGAUACACACUGAGCUGCUGAAAAGCCAAGCAAAGAGGGCCUGAUAAAGCAAGAAGUCAUGAAUGGAUAAAUUCUUUAAUUAAUAAACACCUAAGA
ensembl:lncRNA